rfam:Zootermopsis nevadensis contig30036, whole genome shotgun sequence.
UUCCGUUCCUAAGUACUAGUGCCGCAGGAGUGUGUUAAAGUAAUUUUCUCCUGCUGCUCAAGUGCUUAUCAAUGGGA